rnacentral:tRNA from 1 species
GCCCCUGUAGCUCAGAGGAUAGAGCAGCGGUUUCCUAAACCGCGUGUCGUGCGUUCGACUCGCACCAGGGGUA